rnacentral:rRNA from 1 species
GCCUACGGGACGCAGCAGUGAGGAAUAUUGGUCAAUGGUCGGGAGACUGAACCAGCCAAGCCGCGUGAGGGAUGAAGGUACAGAGUAUCGUAAACCUCUUUUGUCAGGGAACAAAGGCGGGGACGUGUCCCCGGAUGAAUGUACCUGAAGAAAAAGCAUCGGCUAACUCCGUGCCAGCAGCCGCGGUAAUACGGAGGAUGCGAGCGUUAUCCGGAUUUAUUGGGUUUAAAGGGUGCGCAGGCGGUCUGUUAAGUCAGCGGUCAAAGCCCGGGGCUCAGCCCCGGCCCGCCGUUGAAACUGGCCGU